ACAACUAUAAAUAUAAUAAAAUUCAUUGAAUAAUUAAAAAAAAUGAAUGCCUGCCAUCUGUCUCCUCAGUGUAUGCUGGCUGUUAUGUCCUUAAUAGGAGAUGCGACUGAUGGUGUUGUGGCUAGGGCCUGGGUACCGAAUUGGCCACCUCUUUGGAGGAGGCCUGUCACUGCCCUUUCACGGGGAGGGUCUGCUCCCUAGUUGUUGGGGGAGGAGCCACCAGAUCUUUUUUGAGCUGUAUUUCUGCUCUGUGGCAUGAGGUAGGCAGCAUUGGACCACUCCUACCAUGAGAAGAGCUCUUGAGUGUUCCUCAUCUAAAGCUGUUCACCUAAAGUAUGCUCUAUUGUGUCACUUUUCACCUGUUGUGAGGGUUCGUGAAGUUCACCAUUGUUGGCAUUGCUAUACCGGCAGUUGGCCCUGGUGUAUCUUAGGCAUUGUUUAAACCAUGCCAUCCGCACAGAUCUGAUGAGGUCAGUUUGCAAGGCUGCAGUCUUCAUGCCCCUGGGCCUGUUGUGGGAGCUGUCAAGACGGCUCGGACUCUAGCCUCGUCCAGUCCCCAUGUGUAUGUGCCCACAGAGCCCACGGAUGUUAAAUCCAGACUUAGCUCGGCUGCAGGAGAACUUGUUGCCUGUUGGGAUGUUUUUCAAAGGCCCUGGAUUUACAAAGUUGGCACUGGAGGUGUAAAUCUGUGGUUCCCACAGCCGGGAGGCAAGAUAGCAGCUCUUCCUCCUUAAUUUCAGGACUCCUGAUGCUCAGCUGUAGUUACAACAUCUACCUCUGAGUGUGGGAAACCUAUCAGUGUCUGCUCCUAGGUAGCAGGAAAACUCAGGAGCCUAUCCAGAAGGGAGGCAGGUAGGGCAGCAGUCAGGACUCAUUCUGCACUCAGUAUAGUGAUGGCAGAGUCUGGUGCCUGCUUGCAGUUUUAACAGGGUAUCAGGGGUUCUCUGCACUCCCAGCACAGUUAGGGCAGAGGCUAGUGCCUGCUGGCAGAAUUCACAGGGUAUCUGUGACUCCCGGAUCUGCUGGGACAGAUGGAGCAAGGCCAGGUGCCCACUUGCAUUUUUUUUUUUUGUGGGAAUUACUGGUGCUUGAAAGCUCUUUGGACAGUGGAAGUAGGGCCUGGCCCUGGUGGCAGUUUUUGCUGGAAUAUCUGGUGUUCAGACAUCUCAGGGAUCUCAGAGGCAGGGCUUUGCACCUUCUUGCAAGUCUCCUAGCACCUCCCGGCCUCUGGAUCUCACAGUGGUGCCAGAGGUCCGCAUCUACCCGGUACCCUAGUAGGUGGUUUCCUGUUAGGAGAGAGUGCUCACCGAGGAGGAAGCUCUAAUGACAGUCCUGCCCUUCUCCUCAAAUGCCCCCUAACAGAAGUGUACUGCCUCUGUGGGGAGACCUGGUGUCUUCUCAGUACACCGUCUGGUGUGAUUGUCCAGCCUCUCCAGGCUAUCCUCACAGCCAACCUCAUUCACCUCCCUGGGUCUGACUUCAGAAUCCUGAGUUUCACCUCCCAGCCCCCACCUCCUCCUGGGUUGUGAGGAGGGGGAACGCAGUGCCGCAGUGCUGACCCUCUGCACGAUUACUCUUUGUUUUGCUCCUUGCAUACUGCCUGCUGCUCAUUCCUCCUGGGCUCCAAAGUUCCCUCUCCAUUUAGCCUGGUCGCCCUUCUGGUGAGAGGGCUUCCCAGGGUGUGGGAAUGACUUUUUCUCCCUCACGGCUCCCUCCCCGGGGUGCAGGUCUCAUCAUGGUUCCUUUUGUUCUCUCUCCUUUUUCUAUUUUUCCUUUCUUUCCCCCCUUAUCUGCUCAGCCCUGUGGGGGUUUUCUUGCCUUUUCGGAAGUUGAUGUCUUCUGUAGGCCUUCAAUAGAUGCACGUUGUGAAUUUUUCUAUUUGGAGAUGUAUUUUUAAGGUUUUAAGGGAGGAGGUAUCCUAACUCCUAACUCUUUUGCCAUCUUGAUCCAAUCCCCCUUCAGGUAUUUUUUUUAAUGACAACCCAUAAAAUGCAAGUCAUAAUGUUUCCCUGAGGAAGGCCCCAAAAGGCAUUGCUCCCAAACAAGAAUUACAAUGCUUUGGGAUUUGUUAGUGACCCUGGAGGAAAAAUACUGUUAACCAUUGUUGAGGUCCCCACAUAAGAUCUCUGUCACUCGGAGGCAUGAGUUGAUGUUGCCUCCUGCCUCCUGAUUGAUCUGAUGCUUAUCACUUCAGAUAAGUGAGUGCUGUUCUUUGGAGGGAAUUGUCUGGGGACGGAGCCAUAGCAAACCCAAGAGUCAGUUAAAUUUUGUGCUCAGAGUAGGUUUGGUGAGCUCAUCAGGGCUUUUCCCCCUUUUGAAGAAGGCCCUGGAGGUUAUUUUGAGAGAGAUUAACAGUGUUCAUCUCCUUCUUGUACCUUAACCUGUCUGAGUUGUUCCCACUUCAUAUGUUUGGAUUACACCUGUUACUGCUAUAAAUCAGAGUGGUCCAUUUCAGUUACUAUACCUUCCCUUUCCAGUUUUUUCUGCUCUUCACCUACUUGUACCCAACUUUGUGGCACAUGGGAUUAGGUGCAGGAGGAACAAGGAUAUUAUAAAACUCAUAGACCCAUUAUGAUCUCUGCUUCCACCUGAGCCACGCAGGUGAAAACAGUAUUGUUCUCAAACAAGGGGUCAUUUUCAUUAUUACCUCGAAACAUACAAAUCCAACGGAAUAAUCCAAGCAGCUGAAUGAAAUUAAAUCUCUUGGGCUCUUGUUUGAAAAGAUUGCUAUUCAGAAAACAUUCCAACUAGGCAAUACAGUAAUAGUUGAAGAAUUCAAUGCCUUACUUUCUAUAUUGAUUGGAACACCUAGUCAGAAGAUGAAAUAGGGGAAUUAAACAGUCCUAAAACCAAUUGGACAUACUACUAUAGAACACGCCACCCAUAACACAACCAACAUAGAACAUUGUCCCCGUAACAGCAAAAUACACAUACACAUUCUUUUCAAGUACACGUGGAAUAGUUCCAAGAUAGACCAUAUGCUUAACUAUAAAACAAACUUUUUUUUUUUUUUUUUUUUUUUUUGCCUUUUAGGACUGCAUCUGCAGCAUCUGGAAGUUCCCUGGCUAAGGGUCAAAUUGAAGCUGCAGCUGCCAGCCUGCUUAUGCCAUAGCCAUAGCAGUACAGGAUUUGAGCCAUGUCUCUGACCUACACCACAGCUCACAGCAAUGCCAGAUAGUAACCCACUGAGUGAGGCCACAGAUCAAACCUGCAUCUUCAUGGAUACUAGUUGGAUUUCUUUACUGCUGAGCCACAAUAGGAACUCUGAACCUAGUAUUUUUUUAAAGCAUUCUCCAACCAUAAUAGAAAUAAAAUUCAUAAUAACUGAAAUAAAUUUGGGAAACUAAAAAUAGGAAAUAACAAAAUCCACUCCUCAAUAACCAGUGCAUCAAAGAACAAAUCAUAAGAGAAUUCAAAUAAUACUUAGAGGUAAAUGUAAAUGAAAUACAUUAUAUCAGAACUUAGGAGGUGCGGCUUUAAAUGCUUAUGUUAUUUGUAAAAUCUAUAUUAAAGGAAAAAAAUCAAAUCAACUUAAGUUUCAGGAGUUUGCAUUGUGGCUCAGGGGAAACGAACCCAGCUAGUAUCCAUGAGGAUGUGGGUUAAGGAUCCAACAUUGCUAUGAGCUGUGGUGUAGUUCACAGAUAUGGCUCUGUUCCACUGUGGCUGUGGAAUAUGACACUGGCUGCAGCUCCAAUUUGACCCCUAGCCUGGAAACUUGCAUAUGCUGCAGGUGCGACCCUAAAAACAAAACAAAAAACCCCCAAAACAAACAACUUGAGUUUCUACCUUGAGAAACUAGGAAAAGAAAAACAAACUAACUACAGCUAAAGCCAGCAGAAGGAAGUAAAUCAUAAAGAUUAGAACAGAAAUAAACAGAAAAUAGGAAAACAAUAGAGAAAACCAGUUAGGUCAAAGGAUGGUUCCUUGAAAAGAUCAACAUAUUUGACAGACUUUUAACUGGACCAGCCAAGAGAAAAAUUAAAGGAAAAUCAAAUUUCUAAAAUCAAGUUUGAAAGAGAGGACAUUAUUAGAGAUCUUACACAUAUAUAAAAAUAAUUAUAAGGAAAUACCAUGAAUAAAUUAAUGCAAAAAUUAGAUAACCUUAAGGAAAUGACAAAUGCCUAUUAAGACACAAACUACCAAGGCUGAUUCAAAAAUAAAUUGAAAAUGAGUAGACCUAUAACAAAAGAGAUUGAAUUUUAAUAACAUUUUAUUUUUUCAGAACUAGUAGUCCAGAACCAGAUGAUUCCACUGUGACUUUUACAAUGUUUAAAGAACGAUUAACUACAGUCUUUCAUAAAACUUUCCAAAGAGUGGAGUAGGAGGAAACAUGAUUCAGUGAAUUCUGGAAAGGCAGAAUUAUGCUGAAACCAAAACCAGAGACAUCACAAGAAAGAGACACGUGUAUGGAAAGAGAGCACAUCCAUCAACAAGCUGAUGAAGAAAUCAUAAAUGUUUUGUACUACAAGAAUCUCACCUACUCCAAUAUAUUAGCAUUUACCUGAUAGAUUCAUCUACUUAUAACCUGGUAAUACUGUAUAUAUAUUUAUUACUCUAUGCUAUUUUCACAUUCUUUACUGAAUUUGGAGUUUAGAAGGGUGAUAACAAAGAAAUACUGACAUUAAAGAAAUACAGCCUAUUUAAAUUAAGAUACCACUAGGUUUCCUGUGAUUCCUUUUACUAUGAAUGUCUGUUCAUCAGUCUAUUUCUGAAUAUGUAUACACAGUGAUAGUAUUUACAGUAACUUUCAUUUACUGAAUUUACUGUAGCCAAAUUAAAACCUGAAGAAUCAGAGUAAAAUGUUAUAGUAUUUAGAUGAGAAAUUAUCAUCUUUGAAGUCAGACGAGAGUUGCAUUCUGGCUUUAUUCCUUAGUAUUUGUGUGACUUUGGCUGGUUAUUUAAUCCUUUUUCACCACAGUUUCCACACCUGGAGCAUAGGCAAAGAAUUUCUGCAUCAUAUGCUUGUUUUGAGCCAUAAAGUAAAUGAGGUUGAGAGGUGUUUGCGUACAGUGCCUGUCACAUAUGGUAGUACGUAGUACUUAGUAAUAUCAACAUUAAAAAAUUAUUAAUAAGUGCUCUAUUUUAGAGAAUUCCUUUAAGAACCAACCACUUAUUCAGUCAACUUCUGGACUUGAUUGCCAGAAGUCUACAUUCCAACCCUUACCUUCUAAAAUUCUGUUUCAUGUAGGCAAGGAGGAGUAGAAUAGAAAUUUAUAUUUUGAACAUAUACUCUGAGACUGCUUUUAUGUUUAUGGUAACCUGACUCUUAUCAUUUCUUUAAACCAAAAAUUUCUCUCAAGAUAAUUAUAGAAAAACUACAUUUAGCAGUGUUUGAUUUUGCUGUCAUAUGGAAAAGGACCACUGUUUUUUUUUGUAGUAUCUAAUAUAUUUACUUAAAUGAUUGCAUCACCAAUGUAUUUCUUUAGAAUGAUGGUUCACAAAGCCUGGAGCACCUAGCUUUUACUUAGAAUUAUAAUGUCACCAACAUGAUUCUUUGAACUCUGAAUUUUUAAUAAACAGUCCACCAAUAUUUUUAACCCACCAAAGGACUUACAAACCACUUACUUAGGUAUACACAUCUAGACAAUACUUGUAAGAUGUGAUCACUCCUACAAUUAUAGGCUGCAAUGAAACAUUCUACCAAAACUUACUCUUCACAAAUUAAACAAAAGAAUUAGUACAUGUGGGAGUUACCGUUAUGGCUCAGUGGAAAUGAAUCUCACUACAAUCCAUGAAGAUGCAGGUAUGAUCCCUGGCCUUGCUCAGUGGGUAAUGAUCUGGUGUUGCCAUGAGCUGUGGUGUAGGUCACAGAUGCGGCUCGGAUCUGAUGUUGCUGUGGCUGUGGGGUAGGCCAGUGGCUACAGCUCUGAUUUUACCCCUAGCCUGGGAACCUCCAUAUGCC
rnacentral:lncRNA from 1 species